UACGGAGGGAGCUAGCGUUGUUCGGAAUUACUGGGCGUAAAGCGCACGUAGGCGGCAUACCAAGUCAGGGGUGAAAUCCCGGGGCUCAACCCCGGAACUGCCCUUGAAACUGGUAAGCUAGAAUCCUGGAGAGGCGAGUGGAAUUCCGAGUGUAGAGGUGAAAUUCGUAGAUAUUCGGAAGAACACCAGUGGCGAAGGCGACUCGCUGGACAGGUAUUGACGCUGAGGUGCGAAAGCGUGGAGAGCAAACAGGAUUAGAUACCCCGGUAGUCCCUGA
rnacentral:rRNA from 1 species